rnacentral:rRNA from 1 species
UACAGAGGUCUCAAGCGUUGUUCGGAUUCAUUGGGCGUAAAGGGUGUGUAGGUGGCACCGUAAGUCGGGUGUGAAAUCUCGGGGCUUAACUCCGAAACUGCAUUCGAUACUGCGGCGCUUGAGGACUGGAGAGGAGACUGGAAUUCAUGGUGUAGCAGUGAAAUGCGUAGAGAUCAUGAGGAAGACCAGUGGCGAAGGCGGGUCUCUGGACAGUUCCUGACACUGAGACACGAAGGCCAGGGGAGCAAACGGG